rnacentral:rRNA from 1 species
CCUACGGGUGGCAGCAGUCGAGAAUCAUUCACAAUGGGGGAAACCCUGAUGGUGCGACGCCGCGUGGGGGAAUGAAGGUCUUCGGUUUGUAAACCCCUGUCAUGUGGGAGCAAAUUAAAAAGAUAGUACCACAAGAGGAAGAGACGGCUAACUCUGUGCCAGCAGCCGCGGUAAUACGGAGGUCUCAAGCGUUGUUCGGAAUCACUGGGCGUAAAGCGUGCGUAGGCUGGUACGUAAGUCGUGUGUGAAAGGCGCGGGCUCAACCCGCGGACGGCACAUGAUACUGCGAGACUAGAGUAAUGGAGGGGGAACCGGAAUUCUCGGUGUAGCAGUGAAAUGCGUAGAUAUCGAGAGGAACACUCGUGGCGAAGGCGGGUUCCUGGACAUUAACUGACGCUGAGGCACGAAGGCCAGGGGAGCGAAAGGGAUUAGAUACCCUUGUAGUC